AGUCGUAACAAGGUUUCCGUAGGUGAACCUGCGGAAGGAUCAUUAAAGAGUAAGGGUGCUCAGCGCCCGACCUCCAACCCUUUGUUGUUAAAACUACCUUGUUGCUUUGGCGGGACCGCUCGGUCUCGAGCCGCUGGGGAUUCGUCCCAGGCGAGCGCCCGCCAGAGUUAAACCAAACUCUUGUUAUUAAACCGGUCGUCUGAGUUAAAAUUUUGAAUAAAUCAAAACUUUCAACAACGGAUCUCUUGGUUCUCGCAUCGAUGAAGAACGCAGCGAAAUGCGAUAAGUAAUGUGAAUUGCAGAAUUCAGUGAAUCAUCGAAUCUUUGAACGCACAUUGCGCCCCUUGGUAUUCCGAGGGGCAUGCCUGUUCGAGCGUCAUUACACCACUCAAGCUAUGCUUGGUAUUGGGUGCCGUCCUUAGUUGGGCGCGCCUUAAAGACCUCGGCGAGGCCUCACCGGCUUUAGGCGUAGUAGAAUUUAUUCGAACGUCUGUCAAAGGAGAGGACUUCUGCCGACUGAAACCUUUUAUUUUUCUAGGUUGACCUCGGAUCAGGUAGGGAUACCCGCUGAACUUAAGCAUAUCAAUAAGCGUAAAAGUCG
rnacentral:rRNA from 1 species